GACGAACGCUGGCGGCGUGCCUAAUACAUGCAAGUCGAACGCUUCUUUCCUCCCGAGUGCUUGCACUCAAUUGGAAAGAGGAGUGGCGGACGGGUGAGUAACACGUGGGUAACCUACCCAUCAGAGGGGGAUAACACUUGGAAACAGGUGCUAAUACCGCAUAACAGUUUAUGCCGCAUGGCAUAAGAGUGAAAGGCGCUUUCGGGUGUCGUUGAUGGAUGGACCCGCGGUGCAUUAGCUAGUUGGUGAGGUAACGGCUCACCAAGGCCACGAUGCAUAGCCGACCUGAGAGGGUGAUCGGCCACACUGGGACUGAGACACGGCCCAGACUCCUACGGGAGGCAGCAGUAGGGAAUCUUCGGCAAUGGACGAAAGUCUGACCGAGCAACGCCGCGUGAGUGAAGAAGGUUUUCGGAUCGUAAAACUCUGUUGUUAGAGAAGAACAAGGAAGUUAGUAACUGAACGUCCCCUGACGGUAUCUAACCAGAAAGCCACGGCUAACUACGUG
rnacentral:rRNA from 1 species